AGGACGAACGCUGGCGGCGUGCUUAACACAUGCAAGUCGAGCGGAAAGGCUCCUUCGGGGGUACUCGAGCGGCGAACGGGUGAGUAACACGUGAGUAAUCUGCCCUCCACUUCGGGAUAACUGUCUGAAAGGGUGGCUAAUACCGGGUAUUCUCCUUGCACCGCAUGGUGUGGGGUGGGAAGUUUUUUCGGUGGGGGAUGUGCUCGCGGCCUAUCAGCUUGUUGGUGGGGUAAUGGCCUACCAAGGCUUUGACGGGUAGCCGGCCUGAGAGGGUGACCGGCCACACUGGGACUGAGACACGGCCCAGACUCCUACGGGAGGCAGCAGUGGGGAAUAUUGGACAAUGGGCGGAAGCCUGAUCCAGCAACGCCGCGUGAGGGAUGACGGCCUUCGGGUUGUAACCGUCUUUCUAGCACAGACGAAGCGCCUGUGAAGGUGGUGACGGUAUGUGCAGAAGAAGCACCGGCCAACUACGUGCCAGCAGCCGC
rnacentral:rRNA from 1 species